AUAUUGGACAAUGGGCGAAAGCCUGAUCCAGCCAUGCCGCGUGUGUGAAGAAGGUUUUCGGAUCGUAAAACUCUGUUGGUAGAGAAGAACGUUGGUGAGAGUGGAAAGCUCAUCAAACGACGGUAACUACCCAGAAAGGGACGGCUAACUACGUGACAGCAGCCGCGGUAAUACGUAUGUCCCGAGCGUUGUCCGGAUUUAUUGGGCGUAAAGCGAGCGCAGGUGGUUUAUUAAGUCUGGUGUAAAAGGCAGUGGCUAAACCAUUGUAUGCAUUGGAAACUGGUAGACUUGAGUGCAGGAGAGGAGAGUGGAAUUCCAUGUGUAGCGGUGAAAUGCGUAGAUAUAUGGAGGAACACCGGUGGCGAAAGCGGCUCUCUGGCCUGUAACUGACACUGAGGCUCGAAAGCGUGGGGAGCAAAC
rnacentral:rRNA from 1 species